CUCUCGCUCGCUCGCUCUCGCACACACACACACAGAGACACACACACAGACACACAGACACACACACACAGAGACACGCAUGCACGCACGCACACACACACACACGCGCACACACACACACACACACACCCGCCCGCUCGGCUCCGCUCCCGAGCUGCCUCAGCAAGGAGGAGCCCGGACGGAAAACACCAGGGCAGCAAGGAUUUGGAAGUGGAGUUCCUGGAGAGUGAACCUGGCAAUGAGUGCAGGUUUCCCUGAAAGCUGAGGCUCUUUCUUGUUCCCUAGGAGGCUGAGAAGAGAGGGGACCCUGGAUGUCAGCCCAGUCUCCGAUUUUUGUUUGCUUUGACUUUGAGAGAGAUUUCUUCUUUCAGCUCUGGGAAUUGACAGAUGUUUGCUUGCCCAACCUUCUACAGGAACCAUAGAAAGUCCUGCUUAUCCUGCUCAGCCCUGAUGGCUGGAACUGUAGAGUCAAAACCCUAUACAGAGCCCUGAUGCUACACAGUACAACAGUACAUUCAGCUUCUCUCCAAGACGAUGACUAGUUUCUGUUCCACAUCUCUGUUAGAGGGGAUCUUCUGAUUACCUAAAGGAGUAAACUGCAUCCUGUAGAUUUCCUCUUAAAACUUCUGAUUUACGGAAGAGAAGACCAACUUGUUGCAGGUGCAUCAGUGACAUCAAACUGACUUCUCUUUUGCCUGACUGCCCUGUCCAUCUUCUGUCAGUCUAAAAUUAUCGUUUUUGAAAGGAUUGAAGGAGUUGUAUUAAUAUUUGUGUGAACUCAUUUUCCUGCGCACUGUCUGUUCUUCUUCUCUCCUUCCCCUUGGUGUCUCAUUCAUCUUGGCUGCUUUUAAAAAUUCUGUUGCCUCUAGUGAGGGACUGCCAGAUUAAACCAGUGAAGAGAAACCAGGUGACUGUCUACUUUUACAAAUAUAGGUUGUGUAUAAUAAAUUCAGGUUUUACAUCUAUGCAAAUUAAAUCAUCAUAUGAUUCUGACUACAUGCAUUUUUUAUCAAAUAUGGCAUAUAUUUCACAAAUUAUAUUUAACUUACAGUCAUGUUGCUAUUCUGAAUACCUAACUAGGAGUUACAAGGUGUGCCACUAGAUCUUAGUAAACAGACUUACGAAAACAGAAGAAAUAAGAGAAAAAAACCUUAUUUUCUUGUACUCCUGGUAAGUCCAGUGGAAUGGCUUUUCCUGCUAUAGGUGGUAAUAUAAACACCUCACCACUGAGCUGUUUAGAGACACAAGUACAUCUUGUUCUUAGAAAUGUAGAUAUUUUUUAAAGGCCUAAACAGAACAUCCCCAGAAUAAGGAAGUUUGAAAGCAAUGUGUCUUUGGUCUGGAGUUUACCACAUCUAGUUAGUAAGGCCUUCUGCUAACGUUUCUGUCAUGGAGUGGGAGACAUCAGUCACAAUGACAAAAUAAACAUUUUACUUCUGCAAAACUAUAUUUUCACCUCAGGAAUAUUGUGAAGUGAAAAUAGGACUUAGCACAAUUCUUCCUUCGGGGUUUAUCUACAGACAGGGCAGUUUCAGUGUAAAGUCCUAAGCCCUGCAAUAUGAUUCCCAACCAUAGGUGCGCCAUACUUUGAAUAAUCAAUCUGUCAGCUGAGCUAUGACAAGGAUUAUGCUGUGAAGGUAACAACUCAAUGCUUUCAAUGUUAACCAUCCUCGGCAACUGCUGCUGUUUUUCCCAUAAAUAAAAAGAUAUUUUGGU